GCAAAUAUUUCCAUUCUUAUACACAUAACAUUCAUUUUAAUAUUUGCAAAAAGCCAACAAUAUAUGUAUCUAUAACACUUCAUGACAUAAGAAAAAUCAAUUCUGUAAUGAAGAGCAUGGGCACAUUGCAAGAUGGUAUGCCAUCUCCUACAAUGAUACCUACCUCCUGGGACAUUCUGAUAGUGGACUUGAAAGACUUUUUUCACUAUUCCACUGCUCCCAGAUGAUACUCUAAAGUUUGCUUUUACAGUGCCUUCCAUUAAUAACACAGCACCAGUGCAACGUUAUCAAUGGAGAGUACUUCCCCAAGGUAUGAAAAACUGUCCCACAAUUUGCCAGUGGUACAUUGCACAGGAACUCUCAUCAGUGAGAGAGCAAUUUCCCAGGGCAUGCUGUUAUCAUUACAUGGAUGACAUUCUGAUUGCAACCUGUAGUAGUUUAGAUUCACCAAUUUGUGUUUCCCGGCCAACGCACCAAAUAAUGUGGUGGUUUUAAAGCACUGGCUAAAAAUCACCAGAAAACUUACUCAUCUCUUGCUGUGAGAUAUGCAUUAGGAGAGGGGCAAAAAAGGCUUAAAACUUAAAAGGAAUAAGGAAAGUUUAUUAACAGAACUACAAGAAUAAGAAACCUGAAUAAAACCUCCAGAAACCCUUCCUCCUCACCACCCAACUUUUCCCUUGUCCAGCUGACAACAUAGAGACAGAACCUGGUGGCUAAAGCGGUACCAACUAUACAAUAGUCUUUUCAUCAGUCUUUGUAGAGAAAGGAGCUGUCGUUUGUGAUUCCAUGGAGAGUUCUCCACAAGAGAACAGUUUUCUCAUGGCUUUUCUUUCCCAUGAUUGGCAGCCACUUGGAAAAAUCUCUGCCAUCAAUGCCCUCCUCCCAUUUUCACACCAUUCUGAGGUGUGUUCAUGGGCCAUGAACUCAAGGGGUAUUAUUUUAAGGAUGAGUUAUUCAAAAGCAAAGGUGUUCUUCAUCUGUUUCUAUAAUCAUCUCUGGGAAUGGAGGUUUUCUCUUUUUUCUCCCUGAGGGCCAAGGGUCUUCAUCAACUCUCACUUCUCUCUCUCUGAUCCAGCAUCGCAUGAGAUCACAACUACUCCACCAUCUGUUCAGCUUCAUCAAUGGGUACCUUUGCUCAGAUCUACACUUUGAAAUACUUCAUUCCCCCCAAAUACUCUUUAAUGAAGAGGUUUUCAGAACAUUAUUGUCCAUCUCCAUGGCCUAACCAAAAGAAUAUUCCAGUUUAUUAAAGCAUCUCCUCAUUCUCUUUCCAUCUGAGGCUAGACUCCUUCUUUUAUUGACUUUGACGGUUUAUAUUGUCUCUUUACAUGUUGAUCACCCUCACUUUCCUCUCUCUGGAAAGGGAUUAAAUCUGCAGGUCUCAUCUGGGUAGUGAAAGGGUUAAAACGUGGCCCAAACCACAGCAGGUACUCAUGGUGUUGGAUUUCAGUUUGGCAGCCCCAGGGAAGGCAGUGAAGGGUUUUCAGCUGCUUUUCAGCCUGGAGCUGUCUUUGCAGGCCAUGGGGGGGCAUACCUUUGAGAUGUCAGCAGCCAUGGCCCAGCACAGCCUAGGGCUGCUGUGCCCCCAGGAAAGGCUUCAGCCACCCUGCUGGAAUAAAACCCAGAUUUCCCAGGAGGACUGCAGCAGAGCCUGGCCCUGGCCUGGGGUGGGCAUCCCCGAAGGCUCCAUCCCUGGCUAGGCCGUAUGGGCCUGGGAGGCAGGAGGGAAUGGGGGCCAGCCAGAGUUCUGUUGUCUUUCAAAGCCAGAAACAAAGAGAGACAGAAGUUCUCAGGCUUAGGUUUAAAAGGUGGUAUUCACAAAGGUAAUCUUACUUUUCAAUGGUCUACAAUACUGUCAAUUCUCAGAAAUGACUGGCUACUGGCCAGGUCUCAAGCAGAGAAGAAACUCCCAGCAGCCUCUCUCAGAGCCCUCACUUCUGUGGGUGUUCCUCACUUUUUUUUUUCUUAAAUGCCAAUCCAUCACACAACCCAAACAAAAAAGAGCUCUGAGAGAUUCAGACAAGCCUUCAGCAAGCGUUAAAAAAAUUUGUGCUGCAGGUACCACCAGAGAACGUGCAGCUGCAAGCACCCUGGAAAUAUUUGGGAUUCAAUGAAGCAGACUAUACAGACACAAACAAUUCAGUUUUCAACACCAACUGAGUCAGACCUUAUUUAGGAUUGACCCACUCACAAUUAGCACCUUUAUUUGACCUCCUAAAAGGUGCUCCAGAGUUAACUUCCCCCGGAAAAUUAACACUAGAGGCAAAAGCUGCUCUCAAAACAGUAGAGUAAGCUCUCUGAAACAGACAAGUCCACUGGAUAUGCCCAGAGGUGUCUAUCACUGUAUUUGUUAUUGUAAAUCUUCACCCUACUGGUAUUAUAGGGCAGUGGAACACUCACUGGCCUGAUCCUCUACACAUCAUAGAGUGGAUGUUUUUACCUCAUCAACCAAAAAAGACUGCAUCUACAGUAUUUGAGCUAAUUGCAGAAUUAUUUAUCAAAUGUUGUCACAGGAGUUUACAAUUGAAUGCAAAGGAUUCUUCACAAAUUAUUAUACCUGUGACACAAGAACACAUUGAAUGUUUUGCUAACAGUUCAGCCUUGCAAAGUGCCCUGUAAAACUUGACAUGACAAAUCACUUACCAUUUACCAAACCUGAAGGAUUGCGACCUCGCCUGCCAGCUCCUGGGAGUGAAUGCUACAAAUUCCAGUCACUACAAGAGAUUGCUGACUGAGGGGAACUGUUUGUCAAAUUAAGUGGAACACCUCAUACAAAUUAAAUCCAUGCUGUCUUCUGUGACUCUGUCUGCAGUGGGCCACUGCAGAAUCUCUGUCUUUGCCUCUCUCACGACUCCUUCUUCGUUUACUUGGACUCCUGCUGGUGUCUCUCCUGUGUCUCGAGCCCUCCGUAUCCCUACUGCUUCCCCCAGACUGCUGCGAGUCCACUGAAGCCGACCGCCUGUCUUCCCUUAUGAAAAUAAACUUAAGUGAUUUUAAUCAAUAAAAAUAAUUUCACAGUCA